AGAGUUUGAUCCUGGCUCAGAACGAACGCUGGAGGCAUGCCUAGUACAUGCAAGUCGAACGAGAUCUUCGGAUCUAGUGGCGCACGGGUGCGUAACGCGUGGGAAUCUGCCCUUGGGUUCGGAAUAACUUCUGGAAACGGAAGCUAAUACCGGAUGAUGACGUAAGUCCAAAGAUUUAUCGCCCAAGGAUGAGCCCGCGUAGGAUUAGCUAGUUGGUGAGGUAAAGGCUCACCAAGGCGACGAUCCUUAGCUGGUCUGAGAGGAUGAUCAGCCACACUGGGACUGAGACACGGCCCAGACUCCUACGGGAGGCAGCAGUAGGGAAUAUUGGACAAUGGGCGAAAGCCUGAUCCAGCAAUGCCGCGUGAGUGAUGAAGGCCUUAGGGUUGUAAAGCUCUUUUACCCGGGAUGAUAAUGACAGUACCG
rnacentral:rRNA from 1 species